GAUGAACGCUGGCGGCGUGCCUAAUACAUGCAAGUCGAGCGAACAGAUGAGGAGCUUGCUCCUCUGACGUUAGCGGCGGACGGGAGAGUAACACGUGGAUAACCUACCUAUAAGACUGGGAUAACUUCGGGAAACCGGAGCUAAUACCGGAUAAUAUAUUGAACCGCAUGGGUCAAUAGUGAAAGACGGUUUUGCUGUCACUUAUAGAUGGAUCCGCGCCGCAUUAGCUAGUUGGUAAGGUAACGGCUUACCAAGGCAACGAUGCGUAGCCGACCUGAGAGGGUGAUCGGCCACACUGGAACUGAGACACGGUCCAGACUCCUACGGGAGGCAGCAGUAGGGAAUCUUCCGCAAUGGGCGAGAGCCUGACGGAGCAACGCCGCGUGAGUGAUGAAGGUCUUCGGAUCGUAAAACUCUGUUAUUAGGGAAGAACAAAUGUGUAAGUAACUAUGCACGUCUUGACGGUACCUAAUCAGGAAGCCACGGCUAACUACGUG
rnacentral:rRNA from 1 species